CCAACUGCCCAGGCACGCUGGAGCGCCUCACAGUUCUCAAGGGCCGCUGGGCUGGAUGGUCAGGCUCAGCAGCUGCUCCCGCUCCACCCGCCACCGUGGGGUGUUCCACUCACCCACCCGCGCCCCCUGGCCGCACACAUGGCAGCUCGAAUUAUUUCAAACAUCUGCAGUUCAGCCUUGGCGGCGGCAGCAGCAGCAACAGCGGGGGGGGGGGGGGCUCAUGGCGGUGGCGGUCCUGGUUUCAACUCUGGGUCCCACUUCCACUUGUUCAACUGGCAUGACAGUUUCUUCUAAGGGUCCAACAGGCCCAUCUUUGCACUUUCCUUUUUUCUUUUUGCAAGUGACAGAUAGAUCCUUUAUUACAGUCAUAAACCAGAUAAACAAUCAUCAUGCAGUCUGCGGCAGACAAUAGAGCCUACACCAAGAUUGUGACAGAUGCAUGAAGAAGCCUAGGCAAGUUUUGUUGUAGAGCACUUCUGGCUUACCGAACUUCUGCAGCAUUUCUCUCCACACACUUCUGCUGAGACGCCUGGAGUUUGGAAGGAAGGAACCAUCUUUGGUUUUGGGUGUCUCCUUGUUUUCUUAAUAAAUCAUUCCUGAAAUUGCC